rnacentral:rRNA from 1 species
GACGGGGGGUCCAAGCGUUGUUCGGAAUUACUGGGCGUAAAGCGUGCGCAGGCGGUUUGCUAAGACAGGUGUGAAAUCCCCGGGCUUAACCUGGGAACUGCGCUUGUAACUGGCAAGCUAGAGUGUGGCAGAGGGGGGUGGAAUUCCAGGUGUAGCAGUGAAAUGCGUAGAGAUCUGGAGGAACACCGAUGGCGAAGGCAGCCCCCUGGGCUAACACUGACGCUCAUGCACGAAAGCGUGGGGAGCAAACAGG